UAUGGUGGUUAUUGCAGUGGUGUUCACCUCUUCCCAUUCCGAACAGAGAAGUUAAGCCCAUUAGCGCAGAUGGUACUAGGUUAACCCCUGGGAGAGUAUGUCGCCGCCAAAU
rnacentral:rRNA from 1 species